GAUGAACGCUGGCGGCGUGCCUAAUACAUGCAAGUCGAGCGAACGGACGCGAAGCUUGCUUCUCUGAUGUUAGCGGCGGACGGGUGAGUAACACGUGGAUAACCUACCUAUAAGACUGGGAUAACUUCGGGAAACCAGAGCUAAUACCGGAUAAUAUUUUGAACCGCAUGGUUCAAAAGUGAAAGACGGUCUUGCUGUCACUUAUAGAUGGAUCCGCGCUGCAUUAGCUAGUUGGUAAGGUAACGGCUUACCAAGGCAACGAUGCAUAGCCGACCUGAGAGGGUGAUCGGCCACACGGGAAGUGGGACGCGGUCCAGGGUCCUACGGGAGGCAGCAGUAGGGAAUGGUCCGCAAUGGGCGGAAGCCUGACGGAGCAGCGCCGCGUGAGUGAUGAAGGUCUUCGGAUCGUAAAACUCUGUUAUUGGGGAAGAACAUAUGUGUAAGUAACUGUGCACAUCUUGACGGUACCUAAUCAGAAAGCCACGGCUAACUACGUG
rnacentral:rRNA from 1 species